rnacentral:rRNA from 1 species
AUUAAGCCGGAGGAAGGUGGGACGACGUCAAGUCAGCAUGACCUUUAUAUCCAGGGCUACACACACGCUACAAUGGUCAGUACAAUGGUUGCCAAGCCGCGAGGCGGAGCCAAUCCUAAAAAGCUAGGCCUCAGUUCAGAUUGCAGUCUGAAACUCGACUGCAUGAAGUCGGAGUUGCUAGUAAACGCAGGUCAGCUAUACUGCGUUGAAUACGUUCCCGGGCCUU